GGACCUGUAGCUCAGCCCGGAUAGAGCGACUGCCUCCUAAGCAGUAGGUCGGAGGUUCGAAUCCUCCCAGGUCCG
rnacentral:tRNA from 1 species